rnacentral:tRNA from 1 species
AAACAAUCAUUAGAUGACUGAAAGCAAGU